rfam:Solanum tuberosum cultivar DM 1-3 516 R44 scf00040_90, whole genome shotgun sequence.
AGUUUAUGCCCAAGUAUAAUAUAUAAUAUUCAAGAUUGGGAAAAGUCCCAAUCUUGAAUAUUAUAUAUUAUACUUGGGCAUAAACUCU